rnacentral:rRNA from 1 species
CAGUAGCCGCGGGAACACGAAGGGGGCUAGCGUUGUUCGGAAUUACUGGGCGUAAAGCGCACGUAGGCGGACAUUUAAGUCAGGGGUGAAAUCCCGGGGCUCAACCCCGGAACUGCCUUUGAUACUGGGUGUCUAGAGUAUGGAAGAGGUGAGUGGAAUUCCGAGUGUAGAGGUGAAAUUCGUAGAUAUUCGGAGGAACACCAGUGGCGAAGGCGGCUCACUGGUCCAUUACUGACGCUGAGGUGCGAAAGCGUGGGGAGCAAACAGGAUUAGAUACCCCGGUAGUCCCUGUCUCUUAUAC